ACGGGUGAGUAAUAUAUCGGAACGUACCGAGUAAUGGGGGAUAACCAAUCGAAAGAUUGGCUAAUACCGCAUACGUCCUGAGGGAGAAAGCGGGGGAUCGCAAGACCUCGCGUUAUUCGAGCGGCCGAUAACUGAUUAGCUAGUUGGUGGGGUAAAGGCCUACCAAGGCGACGAUCAGUAGCGGGUCUGAGAGGACGAUCCGCCACACUGGGACUGAGACACGGCCCAGACUCCUACGGGAGGCAGCAGUGGGGAAUUUUGGACAAUGGGGGCAACCCUGAUCCAGCCAUGCCGCGUGUAUGAAGAAGGCCUUCGGGUUGUAAAGUACUUUUGUUAGGGAAGAAAAGGGAAGUGCUAAUACCACUUUUUGCUGACGGUACCUAAAGAAUAAGCACCGGCGAACGACGUGCCAGCAGCCGCGGUAAUACGUAGGGUGCGAGCGUUAAUCGGAAUUACUGGGCGUAAAGCGAGCGCAGACGGUUAUUUAAGCAGGAUGUGAAAUCCCCGGGCUCAACCUGGGAACUGCGUUCUGAACUGGAUAGCUAGAGUGUGUCAGAGGGGGGUAGAAUUCCACGUGUAGCAGUGAAAUGCGUAGAGAUGUGGAGGAAUACCGAUGGCGAAGGCAGCCCCCUGGGAUAACACUGACGUUCAUGCUCGAAAGCGUGGGUAGCAAACAGGAUUAGAUACCCUGGUAGUCCACGCCCUAAACG
rnacentral:rRNA from 1 species